rnacentral:sRNA from 1 species
UUCACUAACCUUUAAUAAAAAUGA